rnacentral:rRNA from 1 species
UAGGAAUCUUCCACAAUGGACGCAAGUCUGAUGGAGCAACGCCGCGUGAGUGAAGAAGGUCUUCGGAUCGUAAAACUCUGUUGUUAGAGAAGAACGUGUGUGAGAGUGGAAAGUUCACACAGUGACGGUAACUUACCAGAAAGGGACGGCUAACUACGUGCCAG